rnacentral:rRNA from 1 species
CAAUAGCGUAUAUUAAAGUUGUUGCAGUUAAAAAGCUCGUAGUUGGAUUUCUGGUAGGAGUGACCGUGCCAGACUUGAUUGUCUGUGUAUUGUGUUGUCUCCAGCCAUCCUUGUGGAGAACUUUUCUUGCAUUAAUUUGUAGGGAUUGGGACCCGCAUCGUUUACUGUGAAAAAAUUAGAGUGUUUAAAGCAGGCAAUCGCUUGAAUACAUUAGCAUGGAAUAAUAAGAUAGGACUUUGGUACUAUUUUGUUGGUUUGCAUACCAAAUUAAUGAUCAACAGGAACAGUUUGAGGAUAUUCGUAUGAACAUGUCAGAGGUGAAAUUCUUGGAUUUUGAUCAGACGAACUACUGCGAAAGCAUUUAGCAAGGAUGUUUUCAUUAA